rnacentral:rRNA from 1 species
AGAGUUUGAUCAUGGCUCAGAUUGAACGCUGGCGGCAGGCUUAACACAUGCAAGUCGAGCGGUAACAGGAAGGAGCUUGCUUCUUUGCUGACGAGCGGCGGACGGGUGAGUAAUGCCUGGGAAUCUGCCUGGUAGUGGGGGAUAACUUGCCGAAAGGUAAGCUAAUACCGCGUACGCCCUACGGGGGAAAGCAGGGGAUCUUUGGACCUUGCGCUACCAGAUGAGCCCAGGCCGGAUUAGCUAGUUGGUGGGGUAAAGGCCUACCAAGGCGACGAUCCGUAGCUGGUCUGAGAGGAUGAUCAGCCACACCGGGACUGAGACACGGCCCGGACUCCUACGGGAGGCAGCAGUGGGGAAUAUUGGACAAUGGGGGGAACCCUGAUCCAGCCAUGCCGCGUGUGUGAAGAAGGUCUUCGGAUUGUAAAGCACUUUAAGUUGGGAGGAAGGGUUUCUGGUUAAUACCCAGGAAUUUUGACGUUACCAACAGAAUAAGCACCGGCUAACUUCGUGCCAGCAGCCGCGGUAAUACGAAGGGUGCAAGCGUUAAUCGGAAUUACUGGGCGUAAAGCGCGCGUAGGUGGUUUGUUAAGUUGGAAGUGAAAUCCCCGGGCUCAACCUGGGAAUGGCUUUCAAAACUGGCGAGCUAGAGUACGGUAGAGGGUAGUGGAAUUUCCUGUGUAGCGGUGAAAUGCGUAGAUAUAGGAAGGAACAUCAGUGGCGAAGGCGACUACCUGGACUGAUACUGACACUGAGGUGCGAAAGCGUGGGGAGCAAACAGGAUUAGAUACCCUGGUAGUCCACGCCGUAAACGAUGUCAACUAGUUGUUGGGGGCCUUGUGCCUUUAGUAACGCAGCUAACGCAUUAAGUUGACCGCCUGGGGAGUACGGCCGCAAGGUUAAAACUCAAGGAAUUGACGG